rnacentral:rRNA from 1 species
GUCCACGCCGUAAACGGUGGAUGCUGGAUGUGGGGCCCAUUCCACGGGUUCCGUGUCGGAGCUAACGCGUUAAGCAUCCCGCCUGGGGAGUACGGCCGCAAGGCUAAAACUCAAAGAAAUUGACGGGGGCCCGCACAAGCGGCGGAGCAUGCGGAUUAAUUCGAUGCAACGCGAAGAACCUUACCUGGGCUUGACAUGUUCCGGACAGCCUCGGAGACGGGGCCUCCCCUCGGGGCCGGUUCACAGGUGGUGCAUGGUCGUCGU